rnacentral:rRNA from 1 species
UAGCUAGUUGGUGAGGUAAAGGCUUACCAAGGCGACGAUCUGUAGCGGGUCUGAGAGGAUGAUCCGCCACACUGGAACUGAGACACGGUCCAGACUCCUACGGGAGGCAGCAGUGGGGAAUUUUGGACAAUGGGGGCAACCCUGAUCCAGCCAUGCCGCGUGAGUGAAGAAGGCCUUCGGGUUGUAAAGCUCUUUCGGCCGGGAAGAAAUCGCAUGGGCCAAUACCCUGUGUGGAUGACGGUACCGGAAUAAGAAGCACCGGCUAACCACGUGCCAGCAGCCGCGGUAAUACGUAGGGUGCGAGCGUUAAUCGGAAUUACUGGGCGUAAAGCGUGCGCAGGCGGUUUUGUAAGACAGGCGUGAAAUCCCCGGGCUUAACCUGGGAACUGCGUUUGUGACUGCAAGGCUAGAGUACGGCAGAGGGGGGUGGAAUUCCACGUGUAGCAGUGAAAUGCGUAGAGAUGUGGAGGAACACCAAUGGCGAAGGCAGCCCCCUGGGUCGAUACUGACGCUCAUGCACGAAAGCGUGGGUAGCAAACAGGAUUAGAUACCCUGGUAGUCCACGCCCUAAACUAUGUCAACUAGGUGUUGGGUGGGUAAAACCAUUUAGUACCGUAGCUAACGCGUGAAGUUGACCGCCUGGGGAGUACGGCCGCAAGGUUAAAACUCAAAGGAAUUGACGGGGACCCGCACAAGCGGUGGAUGAUGUGGAUUAAUUCGAUGCAACGCGAAAAACCUUACCUACCCUUGACAUGCCAGGAACUUGCCAGAGAUGGCUUGGUGCCCGAAAGGGAGCCUGGACACAGGUGCUGCAUGGCUGUCGUCAGCUCGUGUCGUGAGAUGUUGGGUUAAGUCCCGCAACGAGCGCAACCCUUGUCGUUAAUUGCCAUCAUUUAGUUGGGCACUUUAACGAGACUGCCGGUGACAAACCGGAGGAAGGUGGGGAUGACGUCAAGUCCUCAUGGCCCUUAUGGGUAGGGCUUCACACGUCAUACAAUGGUCGGUACAAAGGGUUGCCAAGCCGCGAGGCGGAGCCAAUCCCAGAAAGCCGAUCGUAGUCCGGAUUGCAGGCUGCAACUCGCCUGCAUGAAGUCGGAAUCGCUAGUAAUCGUGGAUCAGCAUGUCACGGUGAAUACGUUCCCGGGUCUCGUACACACCGCCCGUCACACCAUGGGAGCGGGUUCCGCCAGAAGUAGGUAGCCUAACCGCAAGGGGGGCGCUUACCACGGCGGGGUUCGUGACUGGGGUGAAGUCGGAACAAGGUAGCCGUAGGGGAACCUGCGGCUG